CAGUCAAGUUCUCAACAGCCUCACCUCUCUUGAAUCCCUGCAGACUUUUAAUUUACUUCAAGUUCUGUCACUUCUGGAAGAAGGGCUUCCCUCCUCUCUUUCUGAGCUAUGUUUAUGUGACCAUGAUGAGCUCCAUUCACUACCGACCGAAGGUCUUCAGCACCUCACUUCGCUUCAAAGUCUAUUAAUCAGCAAUUGCCCUCAACUCCAAUCUCUUGCAGAAUCAGUGUUUCCCUCCUCCCUCUCUAAGCUGAUCAUCGAGAAUUGCCCUAAUCUCCGAUCACUUCCCGAAUCGGUGCUUCCCUCCUCCCUCUCUGAGCUGACCAUCGAGAAUUUCCCUAUUCUCCGAUCCCAUCCAGUAAAAGGGAUGCCCUCCUGCCUCUCUAAACUAUCUAUUUACAACUGCCCAUUGCUCAAACCACUCCUAGAAUUUGACAAGGGGGAGUACUGGCCAAAAAUUGCUCAUAUUCCUGAAAUAUAUAUCGGUGUCUCAAUACUUGACCAUGAAUGCCUGUGAUGAUUAAUAAAAAGAAGCUCCCACACAUAGUUGUUCAAUCAAUUUGCAGAACCACGAAGAAGUGCACAAAUGCUUGAAGAAUGAAAUCUCUAUUUCACAAUCAGAACCAUCAGACUGACCUCUUCCAUGUAUGAACUAUGUACUUCCAACUGCCUGUUGCUCGAACCAUGUCUAGAAUUUGAGAAAGGGGAUUACUUGUCAUAAAGUGCAGUGUCUCCAAUAGAAUAUCCAAGUAUUUUGGUAACACUAUGCCUUAGCUCAAUUGGUGAAAG